rnacentral:rRNA from 1 species
GACGAACGCUGGCGGCGUGCCUAAUACAUGCAAGUAGAACGCAGUUGCGCACGGGUGAGUAACGCGUAGGUAACUGCCUCAUAGCGGGGGAUAACUAUUGGAAACGAUAGCUAAUACCGCCUACUGUGAGAUGGACCUGCGUUGUAUUAGCUAGUUGGAGAGGUAAAGGCGCACCAAGGCGACGAUACAUAGCCGACCUGAGAGGGUGAUCGGCCACACUGGGAAUGGGGAACGGCCCAGACUCCUACGGGAGGCAGGAGUAGGGAAACAUCGGAAAUGGACGGAAGGCUGAACGAACAAAGCCGCGUGAGUGGAGAAGGUUUUCGGGUCGGAAAGCUAUGUUGUGAGAGAAGCGGUAACUAAACAGAAAGGGACGGCUAACUACGUGCCAGCAGCCGCGGUAAUAC